AAACCUCACAGGGGGCGCGUCCUCCGGGGAAACAGAAACUACUUUGGUUGCUCCUGUGGCCACUGUAACUUUCUAUUUUCUUCAAAAGGGGAAAAAAGUUAACAUCCAAGUUGGAUUUUAUGGCUGAUCUUGGAAGCUGAGCAGGGUCGUCUCCGAUUAGCCCUUGCUUUGGGUCGCUGUGAGUUUUCCGGGCAGUAUGACCCAUGUUCCAGAAGCAUUCUCUCCUGACGUUUCGCCCACAUCUGUGACAGGCACCCUCAGAGGAUGUGAGGAGUGAAUUUCCUUCCAAUUGGAAAGAAGAGGACAAUCCCUAUUCAAACCAACAUUUUCCAGGAUCAACUAGCAAAUCCCUGUUUCGGCCUAAUGUGGAUUUGGUUCUCCUUUCCAAGAUGUAAUCCUGAAGCAUGAAGUCCGCUGGAUAUUCAAACCAUUUUUAACUCCCCACUUUCUAUGUUCUUUCCAGCCAAGUGGUAACCAACUUGGUGACUUUAAGCAAGUCAUACUCUCUCAGCUUCUGAGGAAAGAAGUGGCAAGCCCCUUCUGAAUAAAGCUUUCCAAUAAAGCCACUUAGAAUUGCCCUUCAAAAGGCAGCAUGGUAUAGUGAUUUGGAUGUUGGAGUAUGACUCUGGAGACCAAGGGUCAAUUUUCCUCCUCAGUCAUAGGAACCCACUGAGUGACCUUAGGCAAGUCACACUCUCUCAGCUUCUGAGGAAAGCAAUGGCAAACCCCUCCUGAACAAAUCUUGCCAUUAAAACUGUAACGUGUCUCUCUUAGGGACAUCCUCCAAGACCCAGCUUGGUGUAGUGGUUUGAGCACUGAGUAUGAAUUUCCUGCCCCGCCAUAGAAAACCACUGGUUUUGGGCAGGUCACGCUCCCUCAUCCUCAGAGAAAGGCAAAGAUGAAUCCUGUGAUUUUAGGCCAUCAUAAGUUGGAAAGGACUUGAAGGCACAGUGGCAUCACUAGUGGGGUAUGUGGGAUACAAACUGCACUGAGACUACUUAAUUAAAAAUGUUUUGAAUCA